GACGAACGCUGGCGGCGUGCUUAACACAUGCAAGUCGAACGGUGAUGGCCAGCUUGCUGGUCUGAUCGGUGGCGAACGGGUGAGUAACACGUGAGCAACCUACCCUAGACUCUGGAAUAACCAUGGGAAACGAUGGCUAAUACCGGAUACGAGGCAUACACGCAUGUGUGGUGUCUGGAAAGAUUUAUCGGUCUGGGAUGGGCUCGCGGCCUAUCAGCUUGUUGGUGGGGUAGUGGCCUACCAAGGCGACGACGGGUAGCCGGCCUGAGAGGGCGACCGGCCACACUGGGACUGAGAUACGGCCCAGACUCCUACGGGAGGCAGCAGUGGGGAAUAUUGCACAAUGGGCGCAAGCCUGAUGCAGCGACGCCGCGUGAGGGAUGACGGCCUUCGGGUUGUAAACCUCUUUCAGCAGGGAAGAAGCGCAAGUGACGGUACCUGCAGAAGAAGCGCCGGCUAACUACGUGCCAGCAGCCGCGGUAAUACGUAGGGCGCAAGCGUUGUCCGGAAUUAUUGGGCGUAAAGAGCUCGUAGGCGGUUUGUCGCGUCUGCUGUGAAAACCUAAGGCUCAACCUUGGGCUUGCAGUGGGUACGGGCAGACUAGAGUGCGGUAGGGGUGACUGGAAUUCCUGGUGUAGCGGUGGAAUGCGCAGAUAUCAGGAGGAACACCGAUGGCGAAGGCAGGUCACUGGGCCGCAACUGACGCUGAGGAGCGAAAGCAUGGGGAGCGAACAGGAUUAGAUACCCUGGUAGUCCAUGCCGUAAACGUUGGGCACUAGGUGUGGGGCUCAUUCCACGAGUUCCGUGCCGCAGCAAACGCAUUAAGUGCCCCGCCUGGGGAGUACGGCCGCAAGGCUAAAACUCAAAGAAAUUGACGGGGGCCCGCACAAGCGGCGGAGCAUGCGGAUUAAUUCGAUGCAACGCGAAGAACCUUACCAAGGCUUGACAUACACCGGAAACUUCCAGAGAUGGUUGCCCCGCAAGGUCGGUGUACAGGUGGUGCAUGGUUGUCGUCAGCUCGUGUCGUGAGAUGUUGGGUUAAGUCCCGCAACGAGCGCAACCCUCGUCCCAUGUUGUCAGCGGGUUAUGCCGGGGACUCAUGGGAGACUGCCGGGGUCAACUCGGAGGAAGGUGGGGAUGACGUCAAAUCAUCAUGCCCCUUAUGUCUUGGGCUUCACGCAUGCUACAAUGGCCGGUACAAAGGGCUGCGAUACCGCGAGGUGGAGCGAAUCCCAAAAAGCCGGUCUCAGUUCGGAUUGGGGUCUGCAACUCGACCCCAUGAAGUCGGAGUCGCUAGUAAUCGCAGAUCAGCAACGCUGCGGUGAAUACGUUCCCGGGCCU
rnacentral:rRNA from 1 species